ACAUCGGGAGCGAGCACGUUUUCCUUGCGCACGGAUAUACGCAUACACGGGCAGCCGAAUCCUAUCAAGGACAUUUCGCAGCGUGUCCUCCCUCCCUCUCACCCUCCCUGUUCCUCUUCUGCACACGCUCCCUGUUUCAAAGUUAGGUCGAGAGUAUCGCCGCGCAUGACCACGCGGGACCAAGAGAAAUAUAUUCGCGAAUCGAUAACUCGCAACAGCGGCGGGUUAGUCACGCGAACGAGUAGCCCGUUCGAUUAUCACUCCAGCAAUUCGCGGUAACGUGUAAAUUAUGCUUCCUUCCCCUUUUCUAUUUGUCUAUUCUUCGAUCGAAGAUCGUUCCGAUACGAUUCGCGUGACGGGACGUUUCGCAUGUCGCUAAUGAAUUAGAAAAACAUUUGUUCAAUCUUCUGUCUCGCUCCGUAUCCUUCAUUAGUGUUACAUUCGAUAUUUGAAUUUAUUGUCACUGUCCACUGUACCAAACAUUGAAAUGGAACUGUACUUCACAUACCGACGUAUCGACAAAUUAAUCGAACGUGCUCGAUUUUGUGAUCGAACAGCAGCGAAGAGG